ensembl:lncRNA
GAGAAAAGAUCAGAACAUUCCAGUUCCGUUGGAGAGAACAGAUGAGAACAUUCUGGUUACAUUUAACACACCAGAACAUUCUGGUUCUGUUGGAAGGAACACACCAGAACAUUCCGGUUCUGUUGGGGUGAACAAUUCAGAACAUUCCAGUUACAUUGGAUAGAAAAAAAUCAGAAUAUUCUGAUUCUUUCCUCUGAUGGCAAUAAAGGCAAACUGGGGCAGAGACAAAACAAAAAUGACUCUUUUAUAGUCUCUUAACAGAGUACAUCUUCAAAAGCACACAAUGCCCAUUUAAAAAUAAAAAAAAACCUAGGUGGUAUUUUGAGUCUGUUUGACGGAGGAGAGCAGAUCUGAUGGCCUUCUGACUUCCCACAAAUUCUGCAAGAUGAAGGGAAUCUUGAAAACAUCCAGACACCCGUUUAAAGGAGAGUUGAACAAACAGAGUUUGGGAAAAACAGUAAGAGUUGUUGGAAGGGAUUUGUCCUGGAGAAGUCUUUAGUUAAGGGAAGGAGGAGUAACAGAAGGGAUUUGUCCUGGAGAAGUCUUUAGUUAAGGGAGGGAGGAGUAACAGAAGGGAUUUGUCCUGGAGAAGUCUUUAGUUAAGGGAAGGAGGAGUAACAGAAGGGAUUUGUCCUGGAGAAGUCUUUAGUUAAGGGAGGGAGGAGUAACAGAAGGGAUUUGUCCUGGAGAAGUCUUUAGUUAAGGGAGGGAGGAGUAACAGAAGGGAUUUGUCCUGGAGAAGUCUUUAGUUAAGGGAAGGAGGAGUAACAGAAGGAUUUGUCCUGGAGAAGUCUUUAGUUAAGGGAGGGAGGAGUAACAGAAGGGAUUUGUCCUGGAGAAGUCUUUAGUUAAGGGAGGGAUGGAGGGAGGAGUAACAGAAGGGAUUUGUCCUGGAGAAGUCUUUAGUUAAGGGAGGGAUGGAGGGAGGAGUAACAGGAGGGAUUUGUCCUGGAGAAGUCUUUAGUUAAGGGAGGGAUGGAGGGAGAAAAGGGAUUUGUCCUGGAGAAGUCUUUAGUUAAGGGAGGGAUGGAGGGAGGAGUAACAGGAGGGAUUUGUCCUGGAGAAGUCUUUAGUUAAGGGAGGGAUGGAGGGAGGAGUAACAGAAGGGAUUUGUCCUGGAGAAGUCUUUAGUUAAGGGAGGGAUGGAGGGAGGAGUAACAGAAGGGAUUUGUCCUGGAGAAGUCUUUAGUUAAGGGAGGGAGGAGUAACAGAAGGGAUUUGUCCUGGAGAAGUCUUUAGUUAAGGGAGGGAGGAGUAACAGAAGGGAUUUGUCCUGGAGAAGUCUUUAGUUAAGGGAGGGAUGAAGGGAGGAGUAACAGAAGGGAUUUGUCCUGGAGAAGUCUUUAGUUAAGGGAGGGAGGAGUAACAGAAGGGAUUUGUCCUGGAGAAGCAGCAGCAUCAGGUUCAGUGGAGUGAAUCCUUGACAUAUUCUGUAGUAGAGGGAGGGAGAAGAGGAUGGAUGGAUGGUGAAGAGGAGGGAGGGAGGGAGG